UGGGGAAUCUUGGACAAUGGGCGCAAGCCUGAUCCAGCCAUGCCGCGUGAGUGACGAAGGCCUUAGGGUUGUAAAACUCUUUCGUCGGGGACGAUAAUGACGGUACCCGAAGAAGAAGCUCCGGCUAACUUCGUGCCAGCAGCCGCGGUAAUACGAAGGGAGCUAGCGUUGUUCGGAAUCACUGGGCGUAAAGCGCACGUAGGCGGAUAGUUAAGUCAGGGGUGAAAUCCUGGGGCUCAACCCCAGAACUGCCUUUGAUACUGGCUGUCUCGAGGUCGAGAGAGGUUGGUGGAAUUCCUAGUGUAGAGGUGAAAUUCGUAGAUAUUAGGAAGAACACCAGUGGCGAAGGCGGCCAACUGGCUCGAUACUGACGCUGAGGUGCGAAAGCGUGGGGAGCAAACAGGAUUAGAUACCCGAGUAGUCCCUGAGCGGGCUGGCAAGGCGCAU
rnacentral:rRNA from 1 species